MYGCGGGUGCUACCAUGCAAGUCGAACGGUGAAGCGAGAGCUUGCUCUCGUGGAUCAGUGGCGAACGGGUGAGUAACACGUGAGUAACCUGCCCCAGACUCUGGGAUAAGCCUUGGAAACGAGGUCUAAUACCGGAUACGAGACGAGAUCGCAUGGUCAUCGUCUGGAAAGAAUUUCGGUCUGGGAUGGACUCGCGGCCUAUCAGCUUGUUGGUGAGGUAAUGGCUCACCAAGGCGACGACGGGUAGCCGGCCUGAGAGGGCGACCGGCCACACUGGAACUGAGACACGGUCCAGACUCCUACGGGAGGCAGCAGUGGGGAAUAUUGCACAAUGGGCGCAAGCCUGAUGCAGCGACGCCGCGUGGGGGAUGAAGGCCUUCGGGUUGUAAACCCCUUUCAGCAGGGAAGAAGCGAAAGUGACCGGUACCUGCAGAAGAAGCGCCCGGCUAAMUACGUGCCAGCNAGCCGCGGUAAUAUCGUASGGCGCAAGCGUUGUCCUGGAAUUAUUGGGGCGUAAAGAGCUCGUAGGCGGUUUGUCGCGUCUGCUGUGAAAUCCCCGAGGCUCAACCCUCGGGACUGCAGUGGGUACGGGCAGACUAGAGUGUGGGUAGGGGAGACUGGAAUUCYUGGUGUAGCCGGUKGRAUKCGCAGAUAUCAGGRRGAACWSCAAUGGGCGAAGGCAGGUCUCUGGGCCACUACUGACGCCUGARGAGCGAAAGCAUGGGGGAGCGAACAGGAWUAGAUACCCUGGUARUCCAUGCCGUWAACSGUGGGGCACYARAUGUGGGGCUCUUUCCAWGARUUCCGCGKCRCAGCUAACGCMUUAAGUGCCCCCGCCUGGGGAGUAACGGCSSCAAGGCURAAACUYMAAGGAAUUGGACGGGGGGCCCCGCACCAARCKGCGGARCAUGCGCGAUUAAUUUCGAUAGCAACGCGRARAACYUUACCAAGGCUUGACAUAUACCCUUUAUCCCUAGAGAUAGGGAGUCCUUCGGGGGGGUAUACAGGUGGUGCAUGGUUGUCGUCAGCUCGUGUCGUGAGAUGUUGGGUUAAGUCCCGCAACGAGCGCAACCCUCGUCCUAUGUUGCCAGCACGUAAUGGUGGGGACUCAUAGGAGACUGCCGGGGUCAACUCGGAGGAAGGUGGGGAUGACGUCAAAUCAUCAUGCCCCUUAUGUCUUGGGCUUCACGCAUGCUACAAUGGCCGGUACAAAGGGCUGCAAUACCGUAAGGUGGAGCGAAUCCCAAAAAGCCGGUCUCAGUUCGGAUUGAGGUCUGCAACUCGACCUCAUGAAGUUGGAGUCGCUAGUAAUCGCAGAUCAGCAACGCUGCGGUGAAUACGUUCCCGGGCCUUGUACACACCGCCCGUCAAGUCACGAAAGUCGGUAACACCCGAAGCCGUCGGCCCAACCCUUCUGGAGGGAGACGUCUAAG
rnacentral:rRNA from 1 species